rnacentral:rRNA from 1 species
CCUACGGGAGGCAGCAGUGGGGAAUAUUCCACAAUGGAGGAAACCCUGAUGCAGCAACGCCGCGUGAGCGAUGAAGUAUUUCGGUAUGUAAAGCUCUAUCAGCAGGGAAGAAAAUGACGGUACCUGACUAAGAAGCCCCGGCUAACUACGUACCAGCAGCCGCGGUAAUACGUAGGGGGCAAGCGUUAGCCGGAUUUACUGGGUGUAAAGGGAGCGUAGACGGUCCUGCAAGCCAGAUGUGAAAGCCCGGGGAUCAACCCCGGGACUGCAUUUGGAACUGUAAGGCUAGAGUGUAGGAGAGGCAGGCGGAAUUCCUAGUGUAGCGGUGAAAUGCGUAGAUAUUAGGAGGAACACCAGUGGCGAAGGCGGCCUGCUGGACGAUGACUGACGUUGAGGCUCGAAAGCGUGGGGAGCAAACAGGAUUAGAUACCCCAGUAGUC